rnacentral:rRNA from 1 species
AGUGAACGCUGGCGGUAGGCCUAACACAUGCAAGUCGAACGGCAGCACAGUAAGAGCUUGCUCUUACGGGUGGCGAGUGGCGGACGGGUGAGGAAUACAUCGGAAUCUACUUUUUCGUGGGGGAUAACGUAGGUAAACUUACGCUAAUACCGCAUACGACCUACGGGUGAAAGCAGGGGAUCUUCGGACCUUGCGCGAUUGAAUGAGCCGAUGUCGGAUUAGCUAGUUGGCUGGGUAAAGGCCCACCAAGGCGACGAUCCGUAGCUGGUCUGAGAGGAUGAUCAGCCACACUGGAACUGAGACACGGUCCAGACUCCUACGGGAGGCAGCAGUGGGGAAUAUUGGACAAUGGGCGCAAGCCUGAUCCAGCCAUACCGCGUGGGUGAAGAAGGCCUUCGGGUUGUAAAGCCCUUUUGUUGGGAAAGAAAAGCAGCAGGUUAAUACCCCGCUGUUCUGACGGUACCCAAAGAAUAAGCACCGGCUAACUUCGUG